ensembl:ncRNA F10C1.15 ncRNA
CAGAAACUAAAUCUAAUGGUAGGAAGGCUUAUUUUUAGGCCAACGUACCUGUUUUAUUUUUGUCAAUUUGAUAGAAAUUCAAUUAAGAAAAACAUCAUUUCCAGUCCUCAAAAAUGUUUUUAAG